rnacentral:rRNA from 1 species
CGGUAAUUCCAGCUCCAAUAGCGUAUACUAAAGUUGUUGCAGUUAAAAAGCUCGUAGUUGGAUUUCUGCGGGGACGGAGCGGCCGGUCGCAACUUGCGACUCGAGCUAGCGCUUUCCCCGCAUCCUGCCGCGAACCGUGCUACCAUUAGCUUGGUGGCGCUGGGGAUCGGCUCGAUUACUUUGAGAAAAAUAGAGUGUUCAAAGCAGGCCACACGCCUUGAAUAAGUUAGCAUGGAAUAAUGACUAAGGACUUCGGUUCUAUUUUGUUGGUGUUCGGGACUGAAGUAAUGAUUGAUAGGGACAGUUGGGGCGGUCUGUAUUCCAAAGCGAGAGGUGAAAUUCUUAGACCUUCGGAAGACAAACAGCUGCGAAAGCGUUCCGCAAGGAUGUUCCCUUUGAUCAAGAACGAAAGUUGGGGGAUCGAAGACGAUCAGAUACCGUCGUAGUCUCAACUAUAAACUAUACCAGCUAGGGAUCGGUCAACGUUUAAUCAUUCGACUUGAUCGGCACCUUAUGAGAAAUCAAAGCAUCUGGGUUCCGGGGGGAGUAUGGUCGCAAGGCUGAAACUUAAAGGAAUUGACGGAAGGGCACCACCAGCCGUGGAGCCUGUGGCUUAAUUUGACUCAACACGGGAAAACUUACCAGGUCCAGACAUAGUAAGGAUUGACAGAUUGAUAGCUCUUUCUUGAUUCUGUGGGUGGUGGUGCAUGGCCGUUCUUAGUUGGUGGAGUGAUUUGUCUGGUUAAUUCCGUUAACGAACGAGACCCCAGCCUGUUAAAUAGCGCGGCUGAGCUUUGCUCGGUGCGAGCUUCUUAGAGGGACUAUGAUGCGCGAUAGCACAUGGAAGUUUGGGGCAAUAACAGGUCUGUGAUGCCCUUAGAUGUUCUGGGCCGCACACGGGCUACACUGGCGCCUGCAACGAGCAUAUCAGCUGGCCCGAGAGGGUCUUGGCUAAUCUUUUGAACCGGCGCCGUGCUUGGGAUUGACCAUUGCAAUUGUUGGUCAUGCAACGAGGAAUGCCUUGUAAACGCGAGUCAUCAGCUCGCAUUGAAUACGUCCCUGCCCCUUGUACACACCGCCC